rnacentral:rRNA from 1 species
AUUGAACGCUGGCGGCAGGCCUAACACAUGCAAGUCGAGCGGAUGAAGGGAGCUUGCUCCUGGAUUCAGCGGCGGACGGGUGAGUAAUGCCUAGGAAUCUGCCUGGUAGUGGGGGAUAACGUCCGGAAACGGGCGCUAAUACCGCAUACGUCCUGAGGGAGAAAGUGGGGGAUCUUCGGACCUCACGCUAUCAGAUGAGCCUAUGUCGGAUUAGCUAGUUGGUGGGGUAAAGGCCUACCAAGGCGACGAUCCGUAACUGGUCUGAGAGGAUGAGCAGGCACACUGGAACUUAGACACCGGCCCGACCCCUAAGGGAGGCCGCCGGGGGGAAUAUUGGAAAAUGGGCGCAAACCUUAACCAGCCCUACCGGGUGGGUUAAAAAGGGUUUCGGGUUUUAAAACCCUUUUAUGUUGGAAGAAAGGCAACAAGUUAAAACCCUUGUUUUUUUACGGUUCCCAAAAAAUAAGCACCCGCCAACCUCGUG